UACGUAGGGGGGCAAGCGUUGUCCGGAAUCAUUGGGCGUAAAGCGCGUGUAGGCGGCCCGGUAAGUCCGCUGUGAAAGUCGGGGGCUCAACCCUCGGAUGCCGGUGGAUACUGUCGGGCUAGAGUGCGGAAGAGGCGAGUGGAAUUCCUGGUGUAGCGGUGGAAUGCGCAGAUAUCAGGAGGAACACCUAUAGCGAAGGCAGCUCGCUGGGACGACACUGACGCUGAGACGCGAAAGCGUGGGGAGCGAACAGG
rnacentral:rRNA from 1 species